UUUCUCUCGCUAUCUCAGAUCCAAAACGUAUCUCCCCUGUGAAAAAACCAGGACAUCCAUCAUUUAGUUUCCUUAGAUUUCAUUGUUAUACAUGGAACACGCAGGUUCCUCUUUAGUGCUUAUUUUGUUCCUAUGGUUAAUCUUGGGGAUGUUUUACCUGAUUUUGGUAUUUGAUUUCGUUACAAGGGAAGAUGAAUCUCCGUUUUUGGGUAACAAAAGAUGUUCUCCAUGAUUUUGUUUUUGAUUGCCUUCCCAGAAAAGAUGAAUAACCAGUUUUAUUUUUGGGAACAACAAUCAGAUUGCAGAUUGACAGAAUGGCUACUACUGUUCUUCCAACCCCCACAUCGGUAGUACCGACUUUUGGAAUCCUAACACUGAAAGACUUUCAGCAAAAAAAUGGAAUUGGACCAUGGAUGACCCGAGUUCGCAUUGUCCGGUUGUGGCACGAAUCGGACUUCAUGACAACUAAUGAUGUUACCAACCUUGAUUUGCUCCUGCUGGAUGACACCGGUGACCUCAUUCACGCAAUUUUUCAGAAGAAAUUCAUCUAGAAAUUUGAACCCCUGCUAGAAGAGGGGAUGAUGUUGUGUCUUAAAAAUUUGACAUUUGCCCA